AUACCGUGAAACUGCGAAUGGCUCAUUAAAUCAGUUAUCGUUUAUUUGAUAGUACCUUACUACUUGGAUAACCGUGGUAAUUCUAGAGCUAAUACAUGCUGAAAACCCCGACUUCGGAAGGGGUGUAUUUAUUAGAUAAAAAACCAACGCCCUUCGGGGCUUCUUGGUGAUUCAUGAUAACUUAACGGAUCGCAUGGCCUUGCGCCGGCGACGGUUCAUUCAAAUUUCUGCCCUAUCAACUUUCGAUGGUAAGGUAUUGGCUUACCAUGGUUUCAACGGGUAACGGGGAAUUAGGGUUCGAUUCCGGAGAGGGAGCCUGAGAAACGGCUACCACAUCCAAGGAAGGCAGCAGGCGCGCAAAUUACCCAAUCCCGACACGGGGAGGUAGUGACAAUAAAUACUGAUACAGGGCUCUUUUGGGUCUUGUAAUUGGAAUGAGUACAAUUUAAACCUCUUAACGAGGAACAAUUGGAGGGCAAGUCUGGUGCCAGCAGCCGCGGUAAUUCCAGCUCCAAUAGCGUAUAUUAAAGUUGUUGCAGUUAAAAAGCUCGUAGUUGAACCUUGGGUCUGGCUGGCAGGUCCGCCUCACCGCGUGUACUUGUCCGGCCGGGCCUUCCUUCUGGAGAACCUCAUGCCCUUCACUGGGCGUGUUGGGGACCAGGACUUUUACUUUGAAAAAAUUAGAGUGUUCAAAGCAGGCCUUUGCUCGAAUACGUUAGCAUGGAAUAAUAAAAUAGGACGUGCGGUCCUAUUUUGUUGGUUUCUAGGACCGCCGUAAUGAUUAAUAGGGACAGUCGGGGGCAUCAGUAUUCAAUUGUCAGAGGUGAAAUUCUUGGAUUUAUUGAAGACUAACUACUGCGAAAGCAUUUGCCAAGGAUGUUUUCAUUAAUCAGUGAACGAAAGUUAGGGGAUCGAAGACGAUCAGAUACCGUCGUAGUCUUAACCGUAAACUAUGCCGACUAGGGAUCGGGCGAUGUUCUUUUUCUGACUCGCUCGGCACCUUACGAGAAAUCAAAG
rnacentral:rRNA from 1 species